rnacentral:rRNA from 1 species
GGGAGGCAGCAGUGGGGAAUAUUGCACAAUGGGCGCAAGCCUGAUGCAGCGACGCCGCGUGGGGGAUGAAGCCUUUCGGGUUGUAAACCCCUUUCAGCAGGGAAGAAGCGAAAGUGACGGUACCUGCAGAAGAAGCGCCGGCUAACUAAGUGCCAGCAGCCGCGGUAAUACGUAGGGCGCAAGCGUUGUCCGGAAUUAUUGGGCGUAAAGAGUUCGUAGGCGGUUUGUCGCGUCUGCUGUGAAAACCCGAGGCUCAACCUCGGGCCUGCAGUGGGUACGGGCAGACUAGAGUGCGGUAGGGGAGACUGGAAUUCCUGGUGUAGCGGUGGAAUGCGCAGAUAUCAGGAGGAACACCGAUGGCGAAGGCAGGUCUCUGGGCCGCAACUGACGCUGAGGAGCGAAAGCAUGGGGAGCGAACAGGAUUAGAUACCCUGGUAGUCCAUGCCGUAAACGUUGGGCACUAGGUGUGGGGCUCAUUCCACGAGUUCCGUGCCGCAGCAAACGCAUUAAGUGCCCCGCCUGGGGAGUACGGCCGCAAGGCUAAAACUCAAAGGAAUUGACGGGGGCCCGCACAAGCGGCGGAGCAUGCGGAUUAAUUCGAUGCAACGCGAAGAACCUUACCAAGGCUUGACAUAUACCGAAAACUCAUGGAGACAUGGGGUCCGCAAGGGCGGUAUACAGGUGGUGCAUGGUUGUCGUCAGCUCGUGUCGUGAG